CCAAUAGCGUAUAUUAAAGUUGUUGCAGUUAAAAAGCUCGUAGUUGAAUUUCGGGACCAAUAUGUCGGUCGUGCUUCGGUACGUACUUGCAUUAUUGGUUUCUCCCUUCUGAAGAACCUUGAUGUCAUUAAUUUGGUGUCUUGGGGAAUCAGGACUGUUACUUUGAAAAAAUUAGAGUGUUUAAAGCAGGCUCACGCUUGAAUACAUUAGCAUGGAAUAAUGAAAUAGGACGUUUGAUUCUAUUUUGUUGGUUUCUAGGAUCGACGUAAUGAUUAAUAGGGAUAGUUGGGGGCAUUAGUAUUCAAUUGUCAGAGGUGAAAUUCUUGGAUUUAUUGAAGACUAACUACUGCGAAAGCAUUUGCCAAGGAUGUUUUCAUUAAUCAAGAACGAAAGUUAGGGGAUCGAAGACGAUCAGAUACCGUCGUAGUCUUAACCAUAAACUAUGCCGACUAGGGAUCGGAUGAUGUUAUUUUUUUUAAUGACUCAUUCGGCGCCUUACG
rnacentral:rRNA from 1 species